GAAUAUUACUAGCUGUUAAGUUCAUAUAAUAAGAAAUUCAUCCAUAUAUAAUUGAUUCAACUUGUCUGCAGUAUAUGUCUAAUUGUGUAUUAGCAAAACAGUCCAUGCAUGAACAGAGCUAUGAGUUUCAAAUACAAAAUUUUAUUUCAUUUGAGCAAGUAGUCCAAGUAGCUGCCUUAUAUUUACGUACACCAAGAACAUGGCCACACAUUUCUUUUUAAGUUAAAAAAAACUUAAAAACAUAUAACUGCAUUAAACAACUAAUAAUUGUAGCCUUUCAAUUUAACUGUUGCUUUAGCACAUCCUGUGCAAGGCUCUGUGAUCAGUUCUUCCCCGAUUUACCACCUUUUCCCUUCUUCUUGGAUUCUUUUGGUGCAGCCUUCUUGGACGCAGAAGACUUAGAACCUGCAGAUUUGGAGGCACCAUCAGUAGCCUUGGGCGCAGGUUCCUUCUUGCCCUGCCCAAAAAGUUGAGUGCCAACCGGUUUCUCAGCUUUCAAUGAUGCCAUAUUGGUUUAGAAAUUAAAACCCUUCACGAAGAGAUGGGUUUGUAUCUUAGCUUCUGCUGGCUCUGCUAUGUCCCAUCUCCAGUAUAUUUAUGGUGCAGAGGAGU
rnacentral:misc_RNA from 1 species